rnacentral:rRNA from 1 species
UACGAAGGGGGCUAGCGUUGCUCGGAAUGACUGGGCGUAAAGGGCGCGUAGGCGGAUGGCACAGUCAGAUGUGAAAUUCCCGGGCUUAACCUGGGGGCUGCAUUUGAUACGUGUGAUCUAGAGUGAGGAAGAGGGUCGUGGAAUUCCCAGUGUAGAGGUGAAAUUCGUAGAUAUUGGGAAGAACACCGGUGGCGAAGGCGGCGACCUGGUCCUUGACUGACGCUGAGGUGCGAAAGCGUGGGGAGCAAACAGG